GUGUGCGUGUGUGUGUGUGUGUGUGUCUAGACUGGCCAAUGGUUUUCUUGGGGAUCAUGUUAAUAAAUGGGGCUCAUCAGGCUCCGUUCAAAGUGCAGACACUGUUAAGCUUCUUUUCAAUACUGGCGCUAAAUUUAGCCGCAAAAAAAAUGGAGCAAAACGCAACGCGGCGUGCGGCUCUGGUGUCGCGUCCGGGAAUAGUCGACCAGUCACACACGCUGCGAGACGAGACCGGAAUACACUGGUUCGACUGGAUAUUAACGCAGACUUUAACUACUACACUUCCCUAUCAGAACUCGCACACCGGGUUGAGGUCAUGAGGGCUGGGGAGGAGAGAGCCACAGGCAUCACCAAGAGCCAACCGGAGAAAAGAGUCCAGCCAAGGGACCAAUCGGAAAAGAAAACUCUGAGCAUUGACAACCAACCACAGAGCAUCAAGAACACCAAGUCGGCCAUCAAUGACCUCUUUAAGGAAAUGCAGGACCGGGUGUCCCAGGGGAAGGGGAACACGGGCAGGGUCAUAGACUUCAGGAAGUUCCUGAAACGGCCCGACAGACCUCCUCCCCCCCCCCCUGCUGCGCCUCGUCGCAAGGCGUCCCCGCCCCCGCCCCGGCUGGUGAAGAGGAAGGUGGAGGUGGACCUGCUGAAGCUCUGCUGGGGGGAGUCGUGGAAGACCCUCAAGCCGACCAAGAGGGGGCGCUGUCACCAAACCUCCUCGCUGAGGAGCACCAUCAGCCCGGGCAGGAGGUCCCGGGCAGGAGCCGCCAGGGGCGGGAGGAGGAGGCCAGCCCGGGAUGGACAGACUCCUGGAAACUGGUGAAGCCCAGCCCAGCGCCUCCCGGCCCCACCGGCGUGGGGGAGGGCCAGGCGUGGGAGGUGGUGACAGAGAGCCGGUCCCUGGGCAGGUAUCAGCCGCGGGUGGGGGGCUACUGCCUCCCCGUGUGGGCCACGACCUGGAAGACCAUGAUCUUUGUGUUCAGGCAGCAGAAGCCAUGGUGGGACAGGGAGUGGCCCAGCCGGCCCCCCCCUGAACCACAGGACAAGACCCCCCAGCUGCUGGCCUUGGAGACACAGUGUGAGCGUCCCGACUGGCAGCAGGCCUGGAGAAUGUCUGUAACUGCUCCGCCGGCCGACACAGAACCCCCAGCUGGGACAACCAAGAUGGCCGACGUCUUUCUCCCAGGUUGGAACUCUGCCUGGCGACUGGCAGGAGCUCACCCUACUUCAGACGAGGGUGCAGAGCCAAGGAACUGGAACGACCUGUCCUGGAAGCUCCGCCCACAGAGCAGAUGGUGUAUGCCAUCACUAACUUCCCAGCAUCACCAUGCCAAUGCUUUAGAGAAGAGCCGAUUGGCUGCCAGAUUCCUUCUGACUCAGUCCCUCAAGACAGAGGGGGAGGACGAGGAAGAGGGCGAGGAAGAGGAGAUGGAAGAGGAGACAGAAGAGGAGACAGAAGAGGAGGAGACAGAAGAGGAGGAGGAGACUGAAGAGGAGGAAGAGGAGGAGGAGACUGAAGAGGAGGAGGAGAGGCAGGAGGGCUCCAUGAAGGUUCUUCGUCUGCGGUUCCGUGAGUUUGGUGCGGCGUGGAGGAGCAGUUCCUGGCGGGCGUUCCACCGCCCGGAGGAGAAGGAGGAGAUGGACUCCGGCUGGAGGAGCGCCUGGAGGCUCCACAGGGAGGUGCAGGCUAACAGCGUGCAGGAGGAAGUGCUGCUCCUCAGGGGGCGGGGCCUCUGGGCCGAUGAUGGCCUUCCAGACCUCAAGGAGUGGAAGAAGAGCUGGAGAUACGCAGCAAAGGAGGAGGAAGAGGAGGAGGAGGAGGAGGAGGAGGAGGAGGAGGAGGAGGAGGAGGAGGGAGACGAGAAGGUCGAGGAGGAAAAUAAAAUAGAAGAAGUGAAGCCAUGGUGGAGGAGCUCAAGAUACGCAGAAGAAAAGCAGGUACAGGAGGAGGAAGAGGAGGAGGAGGAAGAAACAGAGCAGGAGGAGGAGGAAGACGAGAAGGUGGAGGAGGAGGAAAAUAAAAUAGAAGAAGUGAAGCCAUGGUGGAGGAGCUCGAGAUACACAGAAGAGAAGCAGGUACAGGAGGAGGAAGAGGAGGAGGAGGAAGAAACAGAGCAGGAGGAGGAGGAAGACGAGAAGGUGGAGGAGGAGGAAAAUAAAAUAGAAGAAGUGAAGCCAUGGUGGAGGAGCUCGAGGUAUGCAGGAGAGAAGGAGCAGUUGAAGGAAAAGGAGGAGGAGAAAGAAGAAGAGGACGAGGAGGUGGAAGAGGAGAAGGUGGAGGAAGUGAAAGAGUGGAGGAGGAACUGGAGACAGGCGAGAGAGAAGGAUGAGGAAACUGUGGAGGAGGAGAAGGAGGAUGAGACAGAAGAGGAGGAAGAGGAGAAGGAUGAGGAGACAGACCAGGAGGAGGAGGAAGAGGUGGAAGAGGAGGAGGAGGCAAAUAAAAUAGAAGAAGUGAAGCCAUGGUGGAGGAGCUCGAGAUAUGCAGGAGAAAAAGAGGAAGAGGAGACAGAGAAAGAGGAGAAGGAGGAGGAAGAGACAGAGCAGGAUGAGGAGGAAGAGGAGGAGGAGGAUGGGGAAGAGGAGAAGGUGGAGGAGGUGAAAGAUUGUAGGAGGAAUUGGAGAAAGGCAGGAGAGAAGGAUGAGGAGAUUGAGGAGCAGGGGCAGGAGGAGGAGACAGAGCAGGAGGAGGAGGAAGAUAAAGAGGUGGGGGAGGAAGAUAAACUAGAAGAAGUGGUGCCGUGGUGGAGGAGCUCGAGAUACCAAAGAGAGAAGGAGGAGGUGAAGGAAAAGGAGGAGGAGAAAGAAGAGGAGGAGGUGGAACUGGAGGAUGAGAAAGAAAGGGAGGAUGGGGAAGAGGAGGUGAAGGAGAGGGAGGAAAAUGAUGAAGAGGGAGCAACAGAGGAGAAGGGGAAGGGGGAGGAUCAAUUAGAGGAGAAGAUGAAUGAUUGGAGGAGGAGCUGGAGAUCCCCAGGAGAGGAGGAGGGAGAGGAGAAGGAGGAGGAAGAGGAGGAGGAAGAGGAGGAGGAGGAGGAGACAGAGGAGGAGGAGAAGGAGGAAGAGGAGGAGACAGAGCAGGAUGGGGAGGACGAGGAAGAGGUGGAGGAGGAGGAAAAUAAAAAAGAAGAGGUGGUGCCGUGGUGGAGGAGGUGAAAGAUGAAGAGGAGACAGAGCAGGAUGAGGAAGAGGAAGAGAAAGAGUUGGAGGAGGCAAAGAUUGAAGAGGAGGAGAAGGAGGAGGAGGCUGAGGAGGAGACAGAGAAGGAUGGGGAGGAAGAGAGAGAGGUGGAGGAGGAGGAAAAUAAACUAGAAGAAGUGGUGCCGUCGUGGUGGAGCUCGAGGUACGCAGGAGAGAAGGAGAGGGUGAAGGAAAAGAAGGAGGACAAAGAAGAGGAGCUGAUGAAAGAGUGGAGGAAGGACUGGAGACAGGCAGGAGAGAAGGUGGAGGAGGAGCACGAGGAGGAGGAGGAAGAGCAGGAUGAGGAGGAAGAGAAAGAGGUGGAGGAGGAAGAGAUUGAAGAGGAGGGGAAGAAGGAGGAGCAAAAUGAUGAAGAGGGAGCAACAGAGGAGGUGGGAAAGGGGGAGGAUUGGAGGAGGAGCUGGAUAUCCCCAGGAGAGGAGGAGGGAGAG
ensembl:lncRNA